CUACGGGACGCAGCAGUCGAGAAUAGUCUACAAUGGACGAAAGUCUGAUAGUGCGACGCCGCGUGGAUGAAGAAGCAUUUCGGUGUGUAAAGUCCUUUUCUGUGUGAGCAAUGUUUUCCAGGUUAAUAGCUUGGAGAAAGCGAUAUUAACACAGGAAUAAGCUCCGGCUAACUCCGUGCCAGCAGCCGCGGUAACACGGGGGGAGCAAGCGUUGUCCGGAAUUACUAGGCGUAAAGGGUAAGUAGGCGGAAUUGUAAGUCAGAUGUUAAAGGCACCGGCUCAACCGGUGUAUGGCAUUUGAUACUGUAAUUCUAGAGUAAGGUGGGGGAAGACGGAAUUCCUGGUGUAGCGGUGGAAUGCGCAGAUAUCAGGAGGAACACCAGAGGCGCAGGCGGUCUUCUAUACCAUUACUGACGCUCAAUUACGAAGGUGUGGGUAUCAAACGGGAUUAGAUACCCUUGUAGUC
rnacentral:rRNA from 1 species